UACGUAGGGCGCAAGCGUUGUCCGGAAUUAUUGGGCGUAAAGAGCUCGUAGGCGGCUUGUCACGUCGGGUGUGAAAGCCCGGGGCUUAACCCCGGGUCUGCAUUCGAUACGGGCAGGCUGGAGUGUGGUAGGGGAGAUCGGAAUUCCUGGUGUAGCGGUGAAAUGCGCAGAUAUCAGGAGGAACACCGGUGGCGAAGGCGGAUCUCUGGGCCAUUACUGACGCUGAGGAGCGAAAGCGUGGGGAUCGAACAGG
rnacentral:rRNA from 1 species